UAGCUUAGUCGGUAAAGAAUCUGCCUGCAGUGCAGGAGGCCAGGGUUCAAUUCCCGG
rnacentral:tRNA from 1 species